GGAAAGAACCUACUGCAAUACGGCAAGUGUGAAGGCACAAAUCACAGCUCGUAAAAGAGAGAGAGAGAGAGAGAAAGCGCGCGAGACGAGGCGUGUCGUUUGUGGAGCAUCAACAGUCUGUGAAUGCGCUUGCGGAGAGCAAACAGCAGGAAGACAAAUAUCAGGCCAGUCACCCCAACCUCAGGAAACUGCACACAUCUGAUGAUAUGUUGUUGGGUCUGGGGCUGCAGGUGGAGAUCAGUGAUCAGGAUGUUUCUCUGGAUGCUCUGCUCAAUAAGGUGGACACGAUGGACGGCAAGAUCAGCUCCACCAACAGGCAACUCAAAAACCUCAAAUAGACUUAGUGUGAUGUCAUCUCCUAAAGGGCGUGGCCAAGGUACUUUCUGGAAUAAUUUAUAUUAGAAACAACUGACCAUAAAACACAACACUUGAACAAGGAAAAAGUGUGAGUCUGUGUUCAUGUAUAGAUAUCACAGAAUAGGUUAGGGCUGGUGUUGUGCCGAAAUUUGACUCCCUAGUAUCCUUAUGUUUAGGGGUGGGCUUUGGGGAUUGGGACCAAUGACUCCCUACUAUGGUUAAGGUUAGGGGUGAAUGUAGGGAUAGGCUUUAGGGAUAAGAACCAAUCAGGUAGCGGGGAGUCAAAAUCUGGUGGGGAGUCAAAUUUUGGCACAACACCAGCCCAGUCUCUGUUGGUGCCCUAGGCGAGAUUUCAGACUGGUGCCCCAACCCCCCGCCCCCUUUUUCACUUGAACUCCAAUUUACUGCAAAGCUUCUUUUUCCUUCUUCAAUUUUAUAUAAUAUGAGCUAAAAAUUAUUUCUAAUGAAUAACAAAUAACAAAUUUGACCAAUAAAAAACAACCUGUUCCAAAUUACCUUCUGAUUAUUACAAAAAAAAAAAAAAAACAGGAUUAGGGUAAGGGUUGGGUAUAAUUUAAUUACAUAAUUAAAUACAAUUUGCUUGUUUGGAUUUAAUAAUUAAAUUAUAACAAAAAAAUAAAUAAAGGAAAUGUGGUUUCAAAACGGCACAUGCCUGGACUUCUCUGUGGCAAAGUCAUCAGUGUCAUUUAUUUCAUAUAUUUAAUGAAUAGUUCCAUUAAUACUCUUAAUUAUGGCCAUAAAAUAAAAACAGAAAAGAUCAGAUGCCAUUGAAAAUCAUUUUUAUGCUACACUUCACACUUUCCAGUCCUCCUGCGGUGCCCAGAUACUUCCUUAAAGAUCACAUUUGAAUGACAAAUGCUCCUUUGGCG